UUACAUGUACAGUUUAUAUAUACAAAACCUAUUAUACCAGUAGUUAAAGUAUGGAAUUUUUUUUAUACAGUAUUAAUAAAUUUAUUACAUGUAAGUAAAUUCUAUUGUAGGAUGGAUUGGUGACAAUGAGAAAUGAGAUGCAUGAUGAUCUCAUUGUCAAUUGGGGUAUGGCAGAGCACAGUUGCCAGGCUAAGGCUGAUACAAUGCUUAAAGUACUUAAUGAAAUAGACAAAAGAUAUGGUAGUACCAGUCAGUAUCUGGAAUCAAUUGGGUUUACUCUUGAAGAUCAAGAAUCAUUGAAAUCAAUACUUCUUCAUUAGCACAGAACCGGUCUUCAUUACAAUCUAUAAUUUUAACUUUAAAAAAAAAUGAAUUUAUAGUUCUUUGUGAUAGAGGCAUUGUGUCCUUAUUUAUAUUUUAUCUUUUAACUUUUUGUGUCUGACGAAGUAACUGAGCUUUUUGUUUUUUCAAUGAG